rnacentral:rRNA from 1 species
CUCCAACGAGCGCAAUGGGCGAAAGCCUGACGCAGCCAUGCCGCGUGAAUGAUGAAGGUCUUAGGAUUGUAAAAUUCUUUCACCGGGGAAGAUAAUGACGGUACCCGGAGAAGAAGCCCCGGCUAACUUCGUGCCAGCAGCCGCGGUAAUACGAAGGGGGCUAGCGUUGCUCGGAAUUACUGGGCGUAAAGGGCGCGUAGGCGGAUAUCUAAGUUGGGGGUGAAAGCCCGGGGCUCAACCUCGGAAUAGCCUUCAAUACUGGAUAUCUUGAGUUCGGGAGAGGUGAGUGGAAUGCCGAGUGUAGAGGUGAAAUUCGUAGAUAUUCGGCGGAACACCAGUGGCGAAGGCGACUCACUGGCCCGAUACUGACGCUGAGGCGCGAAAGCGUGGGGAGCAAACA